rnacentral:rRNA from 1 species
CCUACGGGUGGCAGCAGUGAGGAAUAUUGGUCAAUGGACGUAAGCCUGAACCAGCCAAGUCGCGUGAGGGAUGAAGGUUCUAUGGAUCGUAAACCUCUUUUAUAAGGGAAUAAAGUGCGGGACGUGUCCCGUUUUGUAUGUACCUUAUGAAUAAGGAUCGGCUAACUCUGUGCAAGCAGCCGCGGUAAUACGGAGGAUCCGAGCGUUAUCCGGAUUUAUUGGGUUUAAAGGGUGCGUAGGCGGCCUUUAAUUCAGCGGUGAAAGUCUGUGGUUGAAACAUAGAAUCGCCGUUGAAACUGGGAGACUAGAGUAUGUGUGGGGCAGGCGGAAGGCGAGGUGUAGCGGUGAAAUGCGUAGAUAUCAGGCAGAACCCCGGUUGCGAAGGCAGCCUGCCAAGCCAUGACUGACGCUGAUGCACGAAAGCGUGGGGAUCAAACAGGAUUAGAUACCCUUGUAGUC